CAGUCGCCGCGGUAAUACAGAGGGUGCAAGCGUUAAUCGGAAUUACUGGGCGUAAAGCGCGCGUAGGUGGUUUGUUAAGUUGGAUGUGAAAGCCCCGGGCUCAACCUGGGAACUGCAUCCAAAACUGGCAAGCUAGAGUACGGUAGAGGGUGGUGGAAUUUCCUGUGUAGCGGUGAAAUGCGUAGAUAUAGGAAGGAACACCAGUGGCGAAGGCGACCACCUGGACUGAUACUGACACUGAGGUGCGAAAGCGUGGGGAGCAAACAGGAUUAGAUACCCCCGUAGUCCCUGUCUCUUAUAU
rnacentral:rRNA from 1 species